CAGUAGGUGAGGUGUGUUACAGUAGGUGAGGUGUGUUACAGUAGGUGAGGUGUGUUGCAGUAGGUGUGUUACAGUAUGUGUGUUACAGUAGGUGAGGUGUGUUACAGUAGGUGUGUUACAGAAGGUGUGUUACAGAAGGUGAGGUGUGUUGCAGUAGCUGAGGUGUGUUACAGUAGGUCAGGUCUGUUACAGUAGGUGUGUUACAGUAGGUGUGUUACAGAAGGUGAGGUGUGUUACAGUAGGUGUGUUACAGUAGGUGUGUUACAAUAGGUGAGGUGUGUUACAGUAGGUGAGGUGUGUUACAGUAGGUGAGGUGUGUUACAGUAGGUGAGGUGUGUUGCAGUAGGUGUGUUACAGUAGGUGAGGUGUGUUACAGUAGGUGAGGUGUGUUACAGUAGGUGUGUUACAGUAGGUGAGGUGUGUUACAGUAGGUGAGGUGUGUUACAGUAGGUGUGUUACAGUAGGUGAGGUGUGUUACAGUAGGUGAGGUGUGUUACAGUAGGUGAGGUCUGUUACAGUAGGUGUGUUACAGUAGGUGUGUUACAGUAUGUGUGUUACAGUAGGUGAGGUGUGUUACAGUAGGUGUGUUACAGUAGGUGAGGUGUGUUACAGUAGGUGUGUUACAGAAGGUGAGGUGUGUUACAGUAGGUGUGUUACAGUAGGUGAGGUGUGUUUGUUAC